CUGACACUACAUAAAGGUACGAGGCUACGAGCUCCUCCACGACAAUCCACACCAACACCAAACCACGGUGGCCGCCGAUCGACCCGGCCACGCCUGAGAGCAGCAUCUUGCCGGAGACAUGGCGUCCGCUCCUGCGGCGGUUCCCCGCGUGAAGCUGGGCUCCCAGGGAAUGGAGGUCUCGGCGCAGGGCCUCGGCUGCAUGGGCAUGUCCGCCUUCUACGGCGCGCCCAAGCCCGAGCCCGACAUGGUCGCGCUCAUCCACCACGCCGUCGCCGCCGGAGUCACCUUCCUCGACACCUCCGACAUGUACGGGCCGCACACCAACGAGAUCCUGCUCGGCAAGGCGUUGCAAGGCGACAUGAGGGAGAAGGUGGAUCUGGCCACCAAGUUCGGCGUCUCGUUCGCAGACAACAAAUGGAAUGUCCGGGGGGAUCCGACGUACAUGCGCGCGGCUUGCGAGGGCAGCCUCAAGCGGCUGGCCGUCGACUGUAUUGAUCUCUACUACCAGCACCGCAUCGACAAAAAUUUGCCCAUCGAGGUCACGAUUGGCGAACUCAAGAAGCUAGUCGAAGAAGGAAAGAUAAAAUACAUCGGACUAUCUGAAGCAUCUGCAUCAACAAUCAGAAGGGCUCAUGCUGUCCAUCCUAUUACUGCAGUUCAGCUGUAGUGGUCAUUAUGGUCUAGAGAUGUGGAAGAAGACAUAAUUCCAACUUGCAGAGAACUUGGAAUCGGAAUCGUACCUUACAGCCCACUUGGUAGAGGAUUUUUCUCUGGUGGAGCAAAACUGAUCGACUCGCUAUCAGAUCAGGACUACCGCAAGCAUAUGCCCAGAUUCCAGCCAGAAAAUCUUGAGAAGAAUACCCUGAUAUUUGACCGUGUUAACGCAAUGGCAACAAGAAAAGGGUGCACACCAUCACAACUUGCAUUAGCCUGGGUUCAUCAUCAGGGGAGCGAUGUUUGUCCCAUACCUGGCACAACAAAAAUCGAGAAUUUCAACCAGAAUGUGGGAGCACUAUCUGUGAGGCUCACACCAGAGGAGAUGGCCGAACUCGAGUCCUAUGCCGCUGCCGGUGAUGUCCAGGGUGAGCGGUACUCUGAAAUGGCGAGUACCUGGAAGUAUUCUGAGACCCCUCCAUUGUCAUCCUUGAAAGCUGAGUAGCCAUUUUUCUUCAGUGGAACUACAGGAGUUCAUGAUUCCAAACAGGCACAGGAGGGUAAUCAUAGUUGUGUUUUUUGAGUAUUGACCAGAGUUGGACUCCUAUUGUUGCGAAUUCCGGUAUGUAAAAUAAGCUGUGGUAUGUAUGUGUGUAUGCUUCGUUGUUGGUAUACAACUAGUGUGUUGAAUAAGCCUGUGUGCUGUAGUGCUACAUAAAGGUGUGGUAAAAAUGCAUGUUGACAAAAAGAAUAAUCAUGUACAAAUUGUCCCUUGGGUUAUAUUUUUGUGAAAGCAUGUGGACACAAUGCUUGUAGGGGAAUUUUAUUGUGUAUUUUUGUACCUAAA